ACGCUUUUCGUGUCUUCAGAAUUUAAAAAUAUACAUUUUUCCGCAAUUCGAACAUUGAAAAAUACUCGAUAAUAAUUUGCGUUACAGUAUGCAUGUACGUACAUAAAAUUAUCUGUUCAUCAACACGUGCUAACCGUAUACCGCGCCAAUUUAAUUUCUCUACCCUCCACCCUUUGUUUGACGCGAAGCAGAAUUAAAAAAACAAAAAAAUCUUUGAAAUACGAAAUCAACAAGACAAUUUCAAUUUGUGACUUGUCUUCUUUGUUUCGCCCAUGUCGCCAAAGUAUAAUAACCCAUCAAUCGACAAAAAAAUUUCAACUUUUGAUCCGAAAGUACCGAAAAACCACGCGUGACCCAAAUAUAGUGAUCGAAUUUCGGAAAUCUGGCUUCAAUGUUCGCAUGGACUCGCCGUUCAGCAACUUCGGUUUUAUUAUUCUAGAAUACUCUUUGACGAUCUAAGGUACAAGUAAAAUGUUUAAUAAUAUAUUUUAUUACGGGGCGAUUGUCUUUCUCAGAAAUCCGUCUCGGUUCGAUUGAUUUAAAUUACAUUAGGUGUACUCCUUUAGAAAAAAAAAUCUGCACGUAGAUAUAUGUAUAAAAAAAAAAAAAAAAAAAGACUCGCGGAUUAACAUUAUUAUUAUUUUAUAUAAGUAUGGCAGCAAAAAUCGUCGUCCAAUCGAUUAGUCUUGGAAAUCGUCUCCUCUUUUGGAAUUGACGGC